rnacentral:lncRNA from 1 species
CAUGGUAGGACCUCCACGAUGAGGUCAAGCAAGGUUAUGGACCUCGACAACCUUAAACCCUAACCAAAAAAAAAAAAAAAAACCAACAUGAAAAAAAUAAAGUCUCCUUCCGCAACCAAGUCCCAGCCUCGCCGCCCAACCCGCCACUAACAACCAGCCAACCUACCUCUACUCAACUCUCUUUCCCACUCCCACUGCCUAGAUUCAUCCCCCAAAAGGCGAGGCCUUCUAUAACCCAACCAAAUUCGUGCCGCCUCUUUUCCCCAAGCCCUAUUCGUAGUCGCUUUCGAUGACGCGGUUCAAAUAAGCAAUGAGAGGUUCAGUUCGUUACCCCACAUUGUAAGGGUUUUGAUGGCUUCGGAAUCUGAGUGGAAGGGUGGGGAUGGGGAAUGGUUUCUUUGGCAUGCGUUUUUGCUGAUUCGAUUUUCCUGGGAACGUAGAAAAAAAAAUUUCGAAUUCAGUUUCUAUUUCGUGUCUCCUUUUUUUGGACAAUCCCAGCUCUUGGUUCAUGUGGUUGCUGGGUGGUGGAUUUUCUUUCUCUUCCAAUUGUAGAGGAGUAGCAUAUGGUGGCGUGGGGGUCCUCUGGUUGGGGUUGAGUUGGGG